CAUAUACUCCCUCCGUCUGGAAAUACUUGUCAUCAAAAUGGAUAAAAGGAGAUGUAUCUAGACCUAUUUUAGUUUUAGAUACAACCCUUUUUAUCCAUUUUGAUAACAAGUAUUUUCGGAUGGAGGGAGUACAUG
rfam:Triticum aestivum genome assembly, contig: Triticum_aestivum_CS42_TGACv1_scaffold_001559_1AL